GUAGGGAAUAUUGCACAAUGGAGGAAACUCUGAUGCAGCGACGCCGCGUGAGUGAUGAAGGCCUUCGGGUCGUAAAGCUCUGUCGCAGGGGAAUAACACAAUGAAGGUACCCUGUAAGAAAGGAUCGGCUAACUUCGUGCCAGCAGCCGCGGUAAGACGAGGGAUCCUAGCGUUGUUCGGAAUCAUUGGGCGUAAAGCGGAUGUAGGUGGCUAUGUAAGUCAGAUGUGAAAGCCUGGGGCUCAACCCCAGAAGUGCAUUUGAUACUGCGUAGCUUGAGUGUCGGAGAGGUUACUAGAAUUGUUGGUGUAGUGGUGAAAUACGUAGAUAUCAACAGGAAUACCGGAGGCGAAGGCGGGUAACUGGCCGAACACUGACACUGAGAUCCGAAAGCGUGGGGAUCAAACAGGAUUAGAUACCCCAGUAGUCC
rnacentral:rRNA from 1 species